rnacentral:rRNA from 1 species
UACGUAGGUGGCAAGCGUUAUUCGGAAUUACUGGGCGUACAGCGCACGCAGGCGGUCUUUUAAGUUUGGCGUGAAAGCUCCCGGCUUAACUGGGAGAGGUCGUUGAAUACUGGGAGACUUGAGGCAAUGAGAGGGGUGUAGAAUUCCUGGUGUAGUGGUGGAAUGCGUAGAUAUCAGGAGGAAGACCAGUGGCGAAAGCGGCACCCUGGCGUUGUUCUGACGCUCAUGUGCGAAAGCGUGGGGAGCAAACGGG